rnacentral:snRNA from 1 species
AGACCAGAUGGGCGGGAUAUAAACAAAAUAAAUAAAUAAAUAAAUCCAUUGCACUUCAGGUGUGCUGAUCCCUGUGAUUUCCUCAAAUGUGGGAAAAUCAACUGCCUAAUUUAUGGUAGUGGGGGACUGCGUUUGUGGUUUCCCCUA